rnacentral:precursor_RNA from 1 species
GGCUUGAGGACCGUAUUCAUGGAAGAGGAUCGAACAGAGAUGAAGUAGACAGUAUGUUGGAUAAAUCUGAAGACAUGAAAUAGGCAGUAUGUUGGAUAAAUCUGGAGGUCUCUGCUAAGAAAAACUGAGAACUUCACUGAAGAACAUCAACAACAAAUUUUGUGAGCAGUAUAUAACUACAUUUCAGAAGUCUUAUAUGGAUGUACAGAAAUUCAAUGAGGAAAAAGAAAAAUCAGUGAAUAGUUGUCAAAAAGAACAACAAGCAUUGAAACUGUCCAAAUGUAGUCAGAACCAGACCCUGGAAGCAGGUAAAGAAAUGCAUGAGAAGUCCAUGGAGCUGCAUCAUUGGACUCAAACUGAAUGGUCCAUGUGUUGCCACUGAUGUGAGCCAUUUGCAAGCC